GUCUAUGACUGGCUUAGUGGGUAGGGCAUGAGAUUCUCAAUCUCAGGGUUGUGGGUUCAGGCUCCAUGUUGGGCG